rnacentral:rRNA from 1 species
AACGAACGCUGGCGGCAGGCCUAACACAUGCAAGUCGAGCGCUCUCUUCGGAGAGAGCGGCGGACGGGUUAGUAACGCGUGGGAACGUGCCCUUGGGUAAGGAACAACAGUUGGAAACGACUGCUAAUACCUUAUGAUGACGAGAGUCCAAAGAUUUAUCGCCCAAGGAUCGGCCCGCGUUGGAUUAGGUAGUUGGUGGGGUAAUGGCCUACCAAGCCGACGAUCCAUAGCUGGUUUGAGAGGAUGAUCAGCAACACUGGGACUGAGACACGGCCCAGACUCCUACGGGAGGCAGCAGUGGGGAAUCUUAGACAAUGGGCGAAAGCCUGAUCUAGCCAUGCCGCGUGAGCGAAGAAGGCCUUAGGGUUGUAAAGCUCUUUCGCUAGGGAAGAUAAUGACGGUACCUAGUAAAGAAGCCCCGGCUAACUCCGUGCCAGCCGCCGCCGUAAAAC